rnacentral:rRNA from 1 species
GACGAACCGUGCGAACGUUAUUCGGAAUCACUGGGCUUAAAGCGCGUGUAGGCGGGCCGGCACGUCGGUCGCUGAAAUCCCCCGGCUCAACCGGGGAAGGGGCGCCGAUACGACCGGCCUGGAGGGGGGUAGGGGGAGCCGGAACUUCCGGUGGAGCGGUGAAAUGCGUUGAGAUCGGAAGGAACGCCCGUGGCGAAAGCGGGCUCCUGGACCCCACCUGACGCUGAGACGCGAAAGCCAGGGGAGCGAACAGG